AAAUGUUUUGUUAAAAUGAAUUGUUAAUUUUGACUUAAAUUUUUAUGAACAUUUUUAAUUAAACCAAACAAGGGUUACAUGACCUUAUUUAACUUGUGCAUUGGGUUGAUCGAAGCUUUUUCAUCCUCAAGUCGAGCUUGAUUAUGAAGUUUCAAGCUUAGAAUAAGGAGAUAGAAGAAAGAAUUAUAUCCUAUAUUAUUCUUCUGUCUAUGUAUCUAUUGCAAUGAAAGGUUUUACAUAAGUAGCUAACUAAUAGAAUAAGUUACAAAGCCAACCAAGCACUAAUUAAUAACUGUUAACGAAUAGAGUCAUUUACAAUGAUCUAAUACUCUCCCUCAAGAUAGACUGUAAAUGUCCUUUACAAACAUCUUGGUUAAUAUAGGAGACAAUAAAGAAGAAGGAAUAGCUUUAGUAAAAAUGCCUGCAAGUUGACAUUGAGAUCGAAUAGGUAUGAGAUAAGACCUUUAGUGACCUUAUCACAAAUAUGGCAAUCUCAUGAAAUAUAUGAUUAGAAGCAAUGUAAACAACACACUUAGGCCCAGUUUGGUACCCAUUUUUGUAAGAAUGAGAAUAAAAAAUAUAGUCGUUAUAGGUUCCACAUAAGAGAUAAAAAGUCAAAUAUAGUGACUUGAUGUGAUGGAUAACGGUUAUUUUUUCAUUUUUUGUGGCCAAAGAAUGGGAAUCAAAUGGGGGCUUAAUUGUCACAGAACAAAAGAGCAAGAGAUGAAACAUCAAUUUGAAAAUCCUUCAAUCACUGGUGUAUCCAAACCAAUUCACAGGUAGGAGAAUCUAAAACUCUAUAUUCAACUUCGACAGAGUAAUGAGAAAUUGUAGUUUGGUUCCUUGCCUUCAAAGAGACUAAAGAAUCAUCAAUGAAGAUGCAAAAAGCAAUUACAGACUUUUUGGUGUCCAAACAAGAGCCCUGAUUAGUAUCAGAAAAGGCUUUUAAAUGAAUAUAAGAUGAAGUCGCGUUUGAAAAAGCCCUCUAUUGAAGACAUGAUGAGGGGGAGAAGAACAACCUCUGACUAGUACUAAAUUUAAGAUAACGUAAGAGGUGAUGCACAUCUUUCAAAUGGGGUAAAUGAGGAUGUGCUAUAAAAUGACUGAGUUUAUGCACAACAGAAGUGAUAUCUGAUUGAAUUAAAGUAAGGUAAAUAAUAUGAUCAACAAGUCUCCUUAUUGAGAAAUAUAAAAGAGAACCUGAUGCAAACCCCAUAGCAAUGGAAACUACGAAACCCACAACGAGAUUGAUGCGGAACCCAAGAAUGCCAAUACUAACCCUGUUUUGGAUCUUGAACCCCAAGAAUUGAACCAAGAAAUCCUAGAUUAGCGAAGAACCUAAAACCCCUUGAUUACAAUUAAAAGAACCCACAAUCCGAUUAUUUAGAACGCCACAAAAAUUGAAUCUUGAUAAGUUCCAAGAUUGUUCAAGAAGAACAAAAAAUUGAAAGAACAAAUUCUCUCUCUAUAAUAUUAUUCAAGCAAAAGUCCUUACAACGAAAAGUAUUCUCCCAUUUAUACUAAUGAGUAAAAAAGUUCAAAACCCAUCAAAUUAUGGUAAUAAUUUGAUUUUAUAAGAAUUCUAUCGAAACUGGGAAAUUCGGCCAAAAUUGGAAAAUUCGCCAAAAUUUUGGCUUGUGCGGCCGCAUGGUGUAUUUCCAUGAGGUCGCAUGGUUCAACAAGAAAUGCCAUCUUGAUUUUCGGUAUGCCACCGUGCGGCCGCAUGGUGUUUUGCCUGUGCGGCCGCACAAACUUGUUUUCAGCCUCCGGUUUUGUCGCUUGAUAACAAAUUGAUCCAAAUUGAUUCGACCUUCUACCCGAACAUAAAAGUUGCUCCAUUUUGCACCCUGAACAUUGUGUCUUCAUUGACUUGCUUGACGAGCAAUCCCAUCGCUUCUUUCACUUGCUUCAUCCUCGAUCGCGUCAUCGGUCCACCUUCGACGAUCACAGAUCCUUCCCGUGACUUGACGCUUGAGUUGUCUUGGUUGUUGAUGCGCCUUGAUUCAUAUCAGAACCUCACCAUCAUACCCUACGAUCCAUAGAUAUCCUUUGACGGAUUGAGCGAUUUCAAGGCUAAGAAAGGUCCUUAAGUUUAAAUUGUGCAUGGGGAAAAUACUUCAAAUGAUGUAUUACUUGAGUAUUUGGUCCAGUGAUGAUGAUAUUAUCCAUAUAAAACAAUAAAGCAACAAAGGAAGAAUCGGAUCCUAUGGUAAAGAGUAAUUUGCAUUGGACUGAAUAAAACUAAAUUGAGUAAGAGCUUGAGAAAACUUGGAAUACCAUUGUCUCGAGACUUGCUUGGGACCAUUUUGUUGAACUCCAUAGUGUUAGGAAAAUGUUGUAAUUGGCAAUCUGUGACCAAAGGACCAAUUUGUCAUGUUUGUAAAGUCAAGGACUAAAUUUUAAAGUUCUAAUAGUUCAGGGACUUGUGUUGGAAUUUUGAAAAGUUUAUAGCAUAGGUCUAAGGUAAAGUUGGAUGCUUUGAAGAUGAAAACGGCUAUCUUGCUAGAGUUUCGCCCUGACCUCGCUCGAGCCUAAAUAAUAGAAUUGUUGUCGCUAGAGCUUCGCUGAGGGGUCGCUAGAGCGAAGGUGCGUCGCUCGAGUUUCGCCAGCACUUCGCUCGAGCGACAGUGCUAUUUGGCUUUUGGUAAUUUUCCUUCCUCACGAAUUUUAAACGAUCCCUACUACCAAAAACGACCUACUACAUAAACAAAAAUUCUGUUUUUCAUUCAAAAACCUUUGGCAAACACACAAAUAACAAUUUCUCUCUACAACCAAAGGAUCUAGAGCCAAAAAUUCUUUCUUUUCAUCUUAUGAUUCAUUGAAGAAAAACAUCAACCUUCACAAAAACAAAACACCAUUCAAAUCUCCAUAUCAACUUCCAGAAGAUCAUCUGUUUAAAGGCCCUGGAAGGAAACUGCUUGAAAAACUGGAGUGCUUGGUGAUUCACGGGAGAUAGAAGAAAUUCAAGGCUGGGAUUUUGGUGUCGAUCUGCAAAAUCCAGGAGAGCUUUGGUUGAUACAGUAAGGAGGCCAGAGUAUUGUUAGAGUCAAUAAUGUCUGGCGUACUAUAAGUCGAAAUCUUCUAUAGUGGAUACCUACUGGCUUGUGCUCGGAGUUUUUACCCAGUUGGGUUUUCUCCGUCAACAUUUUGUUGCGUUUUUACUGCUUUCUGUUGUUUUGAUUUCAACCGGCAAUUUAACUUAGGUAGCUAAAUUAUGUGAAUGAAUCUGGACAAAACUUAAUUUAUGUGACAUGUUGCAUAAGUUAAUUAAAUUGUUAAAUUCCGCAUAAACACCUAUUCACCCCCCUCUAGGUGUUGUUCGGGUCGAACUAUAGACUUUUCAAGUGGUAUCAGAGUCAAAUCUCAAGUACUGACCCAUAGUUGUCUAGAUGAAUCAAUCACUUUCUGUACCUCCGUAUUUUGACGGAAGUAAUUAUGCUUACUGGAAGGUUAGAAUGCGUGCGUUUUUAAGUCUCUAGAUGAGCAUGUUUGGGUGAGUGUACAAAAUGGUUGGAAACCUCCCUCCACUACCGUAUCAGGAACUGUUAAUCUUACUGACAUAUCACUAUGAACUAUGGAUGAGAUAAUUGAGUGUAAUUGGAAUAGCAAGGGGCUUCAUGCCCUUUUUAUGGCCGUGUCUCCCGAAGAGUUUAAGAGAGUGUCAAGGUGCGAAACUGCUAAAGAAGUUUGGGACAUUCUUGAAACUACACAUGAGGGAACUAAAAUGGUAAAGAACUCGAAAUUACAAAUGCUAGCCUCUAGGUUUGAAGAAGCGAGGAUGAAGGAUGAUGAAACUUUUGAUGAAUUUUACGCAAAACUGAAUGAUAUCGUUAAUUCUAGCUUCAAUCUAGGUGAGAGAAUUCCUGAGUCUAAAAUUGUGAGAAAAGUACUUAGGUCCUUGCCCGAGAGAUUUAGGCCUAAAGUUACUGCCAUUGAGGAAAGUAAAGACCUAGAUGAAGUUAAAAUUGAAGAACUGGUAGGAUCCUUGCAAACUUAUGAACUCACUGUCACACAACCUAAGAAAGGAAAGUCCAUAACCUUAAAAUCCAUCAAAGAGGAUGAAUCGUCUGAUACUGAGUCUCUUAGGGAUGAUGAAAUUACAUACUUUGUUAAGAAAUUCCAAAAAGUUCUCAAGAAUAGGAGAAAGCCUCAGGAUAGAAAAAGUGGAGUCCAUAGCAGAUUCUCGAAAGAAAAAACUGAAAGGUUUGACAAUAAAGGGUCGAGUGAUAAACCACGUUUGGUUAGGUGCCAUGAGUGUCAAGGUAUAGGUCACUAUAGGAAUGAGUGUCCUAGUUAUAAGAAGAAUCAAAGAAAAGGGAAAGGUAAGGCCUUAGUUGUUUCACUUACAGAUAACGAAUCUGAGACCAGUGAUAAGUAGGAAUCAUCUAGUAGUGAAGAUGAAGGGAACUAUAUGGCAUUUGUAUCGACUGUUAAGAGUGAAUCUGAUAAGGAGAGUGACAAGGUUGAUGAAGAACUUCACAAUGAUAAUUCUAGUAAUGAGGAUGAGGAUGACAUAGACAUACAAGAGGCCUAUCAACUUUUGUUUAAGGAGAGUCUUAGGAUAAAAAAGGUCAAUAAAGCCCUACUCAAAAAGGUUGAUGAACUGGAAAGAGAAAAAGAGAGACUUGCUAGUAAUCUUCGGGAUUCACUUAAGAGUGGUAGUGAGUUAAAAUGUGUCAACGAAAAGUUAGAGGAUAAGGUUAAGACAUUGGCUAGUGAAUUGGAAAAAUCUAAUGCUCAUCUUCAGACUUUCAUAAGUGGGACUAAGAAAUUGGAUAAUCUUUUGGGAAUGAAUAAGCCAGUGAGAGAUAGGAGAGGUCUAGGAUAUGUUGAGGGUAAUACACAUGUUGCUGGACCAUUUAAUACUGUUUUUGUAUCUACCUCUAAGAAGUCUAAUGCUGUCAGUAGUUCAAAUAAGGGUAAGAAUGUUCCGAGGGAACAGAGUCAUCAAUCACGUAGGAACAUCAUGCCCAGAUACCCACAGACACGUACCUUUGAGCCUAGAUUCAUUCUCACCUAUCACCACUGUGGAGCUCUAGGACACACUAGGCCUAAAUGUUAUAAGUUAGGCAAUGAGCGUAGAAAUCAGAACAUUCCUAGUCAGGUUAGCUUUCUGUCUAAUCAGGUUAGUCAUUUGACUGAGAUGCUUACUAAGCUAACUAGGAGUACUUUGUCACCUAAGAAAGUUUGGGUCAAAAAGGGUGAUCUAGCUAGACAUUCAGGUCAAGAACAUUGUUAUGUUGCUCAUGUUGCGUUAAAAGCCCAAAAUUACAAUAUGUGGUACCUAGACAGUGCAUGUUCUAGGCAUAUGUGUGGUAACAAGGCUUUAUUCACUACUCUUGAUGAAUGUAAUGGGAGUAUGGUUACCUUUGGAGAUGGGGGUUCUGCACCUAUUCUUGGCAAAUGUACUGUACAAAUGCAUGGAUUACCUGUGAUUUCUAAUGUACUUUAUGUGGAAGGUCUAAAGUCUAACUUGUUAAGUAUUAGUCAAAUUUGUGAUGCUGAUUUUGAGGUUAGCUUUGUGCAAAAGAGAUGUACUGUGUAUGAUUCAUCCGGUGGGGUGGUUCUUGAAGGGGUUAGAACAUCUGAUAAUUGUUAUGGAGUUCUACCUAAUUCUAAUUAUGUGUGUAGGAGUGCAAAAAUUGAUGUGAGUGAACUUUGGCACAAAAGAUUGGGUCAUUUGAACUAUAAGAGUCUAGUACAGCUGGCUAAGAAGGAGUUGGUAGAUGGUUUGCCUAAGAUAGGUUUUAGUGAAAAUGUUGUGUGUGGACCAUAUCAACUAGGUAAACAACUUAAGGGAAGCCAUAAAAAGACUUUUAGAAUUCUGACCAAAAGACCCUUGGAAUUGAUACACAUGGAUUUAAUGGGACCAUCUAAGACUGAGAGUUUAGGAGGUAAGCGGUACAUUCUUGUUGUGGUAGAUGACUUCUCGAGGUUCACAUGGAUAGAAUUGCUUAGGGAAAAAUCUGAUGCUUGUGAUCUUAUAAAAUCAUUGUGUAAACGGCUUGGUAAUGAACUCAAUCUCAAAGUGUCUAGAAUGCGUAGUGAUCAUGGAAAAGAGUUUGAAAAUUUCAAUCUUGAGAGUUUCUGCAUGGACAAAGGGAUACUGCAUGAGUUCUCUUCCCCUAUCACUCCUCAACAAAAUGGGGUGGUUGAAAGGAAGAAUCGGGUUCUUCAGGACAUGGCUAGAGCCAUGCUUCAUGGCAAGGGACUAGCCCUACAUUUUUUGGGAGAAGUGGUUAACACUGCAUGCCACAUAAUCAAUAGAGUUUACCUUAGGCCCAAG
rnacentral:lncRNA from 1 species